UUUUUGCUGAGAGCGGAGUUUCGGGUCCGGAGCCAGUGCCCGCCCCUCUCUCCCGUCGGUCGGGGCUUUGGCCCCGUGGGGCUCAGCCGCGCGGGACCCCUGCUGAGCAGCCCCGGGCGCCGGCCGCCCCUCGAGCCUGCUCGGGAUGCGUUCAGUGGGUCUGGCCUUUGGCUCCUGUUUAAACAGCGAUUGUCAUGCAAUGGAGGCCGUCCGGCUCCUGGAUGCCACUUGGUCGUUGUCACUCCGGAUGCCCGCGUAGGGCGUUUAUCUGGACCAGAGCAUCGGCAGCUGAGACCUGGCUGUGGUUCACAAGCUCGUGAAUUAGCAGGUUCUUAACUAGACUUCGGGCUCCUUGAGGAUAUUCAGUUUUGUAUGUUUGAAUAUCCUCUCACCAUGUUCAGCAUAAAGUACCAUUCUUAAUGAUUAUCCUCAACAAGACAGGUGUGAGAGGGUUGCUGUUGUAUUGCAAUCAUGGUGCAGAAAUACCAGUCCCCAGUGAGGGUGUACAAAUACCCCUUUGAAUUAAUUAUGGCUGCCUAUGAAAGGAGGUUCCCUACAUGUCCUUUGAUUCCGAUGUUCGUGGGCAGUGACACUGUGAAUGAAUUCAAGAGCGAAGAUGGGGCUAUUCAUGUCAUUGAAAGGCGCUGCAAGC
rnacentral:lncRNA from 1 species